rnacentral:tRNA from 1 species
AGCUCAGUUGGUAGAGCAUGGGACUCUUAAUCCCAGAGUCAGUGGGUUCAAGCCUCAC